CUCCAGUUCCAUCGCCGCCGCCUCCUCCACCCCUGCCGGCCAUCGCACCCCCAUCCCCUCCGCCGGCCACCAUGCCACCAUCUCCUCCACCUCCAUUGGCAACCGCGCCCCUAUCCCCUCCACCACCUCCGCCGGCAGCCACGCCCCACCCCCUCCACCUCCGCCUGCCGUCGCGCCCCCAUCCCUUCGCCGGCCGUCGCACCCCCAUCCCCUCCACCACCUCUGCCGACCACAGUGCCCCCGUCUCCUCCACCUCCGCAGGCCGCCGCACCCCUAUCCCCUCCACCACCUUUGUCGGCCGCCGCACCACCAUCUCCUCUUCCACCGCGCCCCCAUCUCCUCACUAACCCUUUCUGUGACUUCCAUGCCCCUUUACCGUAGCCAUUGCCACCAUCUCCUCCGCCCCCCGCCCAUCCCCUCCUCCGCCACACUCCGUCGCAACACAUCCCCUCUACUGCCGACAUCCCCCCUACCCAUCAUCCAUCCGAUCUCCUUCUCAAGCUCAUGACCACACGGGUAAACUAGGUGUCCGCGCCGAUGGCAGCUCACCUCCCCGGGGGCCUCCCCCGCCCCAGAUCCCACUUGAGCAUCUUCUUCGUUGGAUCCGGAUCCAUGGUGGCGGCAGAGGCUUACCUACCUUGGCGAUGACUACAGGAUCUAUCGACUUGGAGGUUGGAGCGAUGAUUUGCAUUUAGGAAGCUUCUGAUUAACCUGCGGAUUUCCCAAUGGUGUGCAUGCUUGAGGCUUGUCUAUAUCAGAUUCAGUCUCUACUUCGACAUGCAUGGGCUGUAGGUUGUAGGGUACAUCAAAAUUUUGCAUGUAGGACCUGAAUGCACUAAAAAAUAAAUCGGGAUUAUUGUUACCUAUUAAGGCUCGAUUACUGAUACCUGUUCAGCCGUAGUGGUUGAAGUAAUUUACUGAAGAUUGCUACAAUGCUACCAUAUUAUUGAGACUGUAGUGAUCGCGCUCUGCGAGGAAGUCCUGAAGAGAAGGAUGUAAGAAAAGAAGUCGAGUAGUGAUUGUGCAUUGCAGAUAUGAAUUGCAAACUACAAAGAGGGUUGUGCACCAGAAAAAUGGAGCUAGGCUCGAGACUUCUGGGUGCUAAAGGACUUUCACUUGUUUAUGUUUGUUUUGAUCAGUAAACAUAUGAUUGUAUUUGGACAUGUGGUUAGGUUUGGGUGUAAUUUUUGGCUAUAAGUCUGUAUUGGAUGUCCAUAGGUUGUAUUGGAUAUUAACUGGGCUAUAUUUGUAUGUGCUGCUAUUUGGUACAAUGCUUCAGCCUAUAUGGUCUUGGCCCAUUUGUUAUUUGUUUUUAAUGCAAAUGGAUAUAAUACAAUUGGGCUGAAAAUAUCAUGUAUUGCUAUGUUAUAGAUGGGCCUGGGGCCUUUGAUUGGACUUAGCCCAUUUAGCCCAUAAAUGGGUUGCUCAAUCAUGGGCUUUGAUAGGUCAAAAGAUAUUUUAUGAUGAAUAAAAUUGUCAUAAU